AUAGCGUAUAUUAAUGUUGUCGCAGUUAAAAAGCUCGUAGUUGGAUUCCUGACCUGGGGUAGCCGGUCCGCCCUGCAAAAGGUGCGCACUGAGCGGCCUCGGUCAUCCUUGAGAAGAGCGGUCCUGGCAUCCAGUUGUCGGGGUCGGGAUUCUCGACGUUUACUGUGAAAAAAUCAGAGUGUUCAACGCAGGCUUACGCCUUGAAUACAUUAGCAUGGAAUAAUGAGAUAGGACCUUGGCGGUCUAUUUUGUUGGUUUGCACGCCGAGGUAAUGAUUAAAAGGGACGGUUGGGGUUCUUCGUAUUCGAUUGUCAGAGGUGAAAUUCUUGGAUUUAUGGAAGACGAACUGCUGCGAAAGCGUCGAACAAGGACGUUCUCAUUAAUCAAGAACGAAAGUUAGGGGAUCGAAGAUGAUUAGAUACCAUCGUAGUCUUAACCAUAAACUAUGCCGAUUCAGGAUUGGCGGUCGUUUGUUCUCGACUCCGUCAGCACUGUAUGAGAAAUCAAAAUCUUUGGGUUCCGGGGGGAGUAUGGUCGCAAGGCUGAAACU
rnacentral:rRNA from 1 species